rfam:Gorilla gorilla gorilla genomic chromosome, chr1, whole genome shotgun sequence
GCCAGGGGUGGUGGUGGACACCUGUAAUCCCAGCUACUUGGGAGGCUGAGACAGGAGAAUUGCUUGAACCCAGGAGGCAGAGGUUGCAGUGAGCUGAGAUCACACCACUGCACUCCAGCCUGGGUGACAGAGCAAGACUCUGUCUCAA